UCGUAACAAGGUUUCCGUAGGUGAACCUGCGGAAGGAUCAUUACCGAGUGAGGGCCCUCUGGGUCCAACCUCCCACCCGUGUUUAUCGUACCUUGUUGCUUCGGCGGGCCCGCCGUUCCGGCCGCCGGGGGGCAUCCGCCCCCGGGCCCGCGCCCGCCGAAGACACCAUUGAACGCUGUCUGAAGAUUGCAGUCUGAGCGAUUAGCUAAAUCAGUUAAAACUUUCAACAACGGAUCUCUUGGUUCCGGCAUCGAUGAAGAACGCAGCGAAAUGCGAUAAGUAAUGUGAAUUGCAGAAUUCAGUGAAUCAUCGAGUCUUUGAACGCACAUUGCGCCCCCUGGUAUUCCGGGGGGCAUGCCUGUCCGAGCGUCAUUGCUGCCCUCAAGCACGGCUUGUGUGUUGGGCCCCGCCCCCCGGCUACCGGGGGGCGGGCCCGAAAGGCAGCGGCGGCACCGCGUCCGGUCCUCGAGCGUAUGGGGCUUCGUCACCCGCUCUGUAGGCCCGGCCGGCGCCCGCCGGCGACCCCCCUCAAUCUUUCUCAGGUUGACCUCGGAUCAGGUAGGGAUACCCGCUGAACCUAAGCAUAUC
rnacentral:misc_RNA from 1 species